CCGGACUUCAUCAAAAUGAAACACCUUUGCUCUGUGAAAGACCUUUUGAGAGAAAGAAGAGAAGCUUCAGACCAGCAGAAAAUACUGGAAACCACAUAGCUGACAAACACUCAUAUACAGAACUCUCAAAGCUAACAAAACAAUGCAAUCAUAAAACGAGCAGAAGUCUGAAAGACAUUUCACCAAAGAUGACACACCGACAGCAAAGCAAUGUGCAAGGGGAUGAGCGUGAGAGGCGUGGAGGGAACAAGAGUGAGAGGCGUGGGAGAGGAUGAGGGUGAGAGAUGUAGGAGAGGGUGACGGUGAGAGGCGUGGGAGAGGGAGAGGAUGAGAGGCGUGGGAGAAGGUGAGAGGCGUGGGAGAGGGUGAGAGGCGUGGGAGGGGGUGAGAGGCGUGGGAGGGGGUGAGUGUGAGAAGUCUGGGAGGGGGUGAGUGUGAGAAGUCUGGGAGGGGUGAGUGUGAGAAGUCUGGGAGGGGGCGAGUGUGAGAAGUCUGGGAGGGGUGAGUGUGAGAAGUCUGGGAGGGGUGAGUGUGAGAAGUCUGGGAGGGGGUGAGUGUGAGAAGUCUGGGAGGGGUGAGUGUGAGAAGUCUGGGAGAGGAUGCUCCCCAUCAGCAGUCACAGGGAUACGCACGCUGAAGCCUCGAGGAAACACCAGCGCACCCAACAGAAGCGCUAAAUAAAAAGUGGGUAAGAGCUAACGCUGGCGAGGACGCCGGCGAGGAGGGGAGAAAGGCGGCCACUGCAACAUCGCCGGUGGGCGUGUGAAAGGCUGCAGCCACUCUGGAGUGUGGUUCAGCAAUUUCCUCG
rnacentral:lncRNA from 1 species